rnacentral:miRNA from 10 species
ACAAUGAAAUUAACCUUCUCU